UGGGGAAUAUUGGACAAUGGGCGAAAGCCUGAUCCAGCCAUGCCGCGUGAGUGAUGAAGGCCCUAGGGUUGUAAAGCUCUUUCAACGGUGAAGAUAAUGACGGUAACCGUAGAAGAAGCCCCGGCUAACUUCGUGCCAGCAGCCGCGGUAAUACGUAGGCAGCAAGCGUUGUUCGGAGUUACUGGGCGUAAAGAGUGCGUAGGCGGUUUUCUAAGUUCGGUGUGAAAUCUCCCGGCUUAACUGGGAGGGUGCGCCGAAGACUGGGAAGCUGGAGUGUGGGAAAGGCAGGCGGAAUUCCUGGUGUAGCGGUGAAAUGCGUAGAUAUCAGGAGGAACACCUGCGGUGUAGACGGCUUGCUAGACCAUAACUGACGCUGAGGCACGAAAGCGUGGGUAGCAAACA
rnacentral:rRNA from 1 species